rnacentral:lncRNA from 1 species
CUGGAGAACACUGAUCUAUCUGAACCAUGAGCUAGAUGAUGGUUAAAAGUUCAGGAAACACAAUGAAAGCAGAGAGAGAUUGAAAGUGAGCCACAUCCACAAAAAUGUUCUGCGCAGUAAGAGGAUCGACUCCUUGCUGCAUCGCGACUUGAAGCGAAUCUCCUUCAAAUAUUAUUCUGAGUAGGUAAGAAUCUAUAUUUUCUAAGACAUCCAAAACCGCCACCCCAUCUCUCCCAUUUUUUUCUUUUUCUCAUUUUCUUAUUUUCAUGAACAGUCAAUUUGAAGGAAGGAGAAAGUGCUUUUCCAGUUAAGCUAACAAUCCUUUUUCUUUUUUCUCCUUUUAGUUCGUCAAAUUUUUAGUCUGUUUUCCUUUUAGUUGAAUAACUAAUAAUAAAAAAUGACUUCUGAUAAAUAACUAAUAUUAACAUAAAUAUUGUCACCUAAUUAAACCUUAACUUUCUUGCUUCAUAAUCAUAAAUUUCUAUUUAAUACAUUCUUAGUUCCAAUGUAAUACUAGAUUUUUUAAUUUGAAUCUCAAUAGUAAAAACAUCAUAUAGUAACAGUGGAUGACUUGUCAAGUCCAGAAAAUUAAAAAGUAAAUUGAAAAAUAAAAAAAC